UGCCGCGGUGGCUCCCCUGUGGGCUCCCGCCCUGCUGUGGUGGCGGCGCCGCGCAGCUCCGCCCCGGGAAAGUGCGGGCCUCCCGUCCGGCGAGGCCCGGAGACGCGGAAAGACGCGCCCCCCUUCUCGCGGCCUCUGACAGCUGGUCACACUCACACUUUGGAUUGAACACCUGGCGGUGUGUCCGCUGACCUGCCGGGUACAGAUGUCGGGAGACGAGCUCUCGGACCUCCAGGAGUUUGCAGUUUGGUUGGAAACAAUGACAAAAGAUGAAAUUCAAUCUGGCGGCACCACCCGAUCCCGGCCCCCUUCUCGACCCACCUUUCUGCAUGUCUCAAGGCUUUACAAAAAGGAUUUUGAGAGUGACAGUCCUAGAGAUCUAAUUUCAGCGAGGAGUACUAGGUAUCAGGAAGAUUAGAGGUGGCAAGGGCCUGCAAGAGGAAAUAUGGACGGAGCAAAGGAGAACAGUUUUUCAUUGUUUUGUUUUUUGGGGAAUUUUUUUAACAUUACCAUCAUGAUCCGAGAAUCUGUUUCUUCCAUAUAUUUUGCCUGAUACCUUGCCUUUGACUGUCUCCAGUGUGGAGAAAGCUCUUCCCUCAACUCUCAACUCUGGGACUCAGGUAAUGCUAUUUUUUGUUCCUUAACAUUUCUCUCAAAAAUAUGUUUGCAAUAUUUCGAAAUCCACUUGAGUAUCUGCUUCCUUUGCCCAGAAUAUAAAAUUCACUCUUUUACAAAGAAUUAGGUAGCGUGCCAUAAAGUUGAAAUGAUGUUUUUAUUAGACAUGAUUUAA